UCGAGAAUAAUUCACAAUGGGGGCAACCCUGGUGGUGCAACGCCGCGUGGAGGAUGACGGUCUUCGGAUUGUAAACUCCUGUCAUCCGGGAGUAAGACCUGGCGGUUAACAGCCGACAGGGUUGAUAGUACCGGAAGAGGAAGGGACGGCUAACUUCGUGCCAGCAGCCGCGGUAAUACGAAGGUCCCGAGCGUUGUUCGGAAUCACUGGGCGUAAAGGGAGCGUAGGCUGCGCGGUAAGUCAGAUGUGAAAUCCCGGGGCUCAACCCCGGAACUGCAUCCGAUACUGCCGCGCUAGAGGAUUGGAGAGGUAGCUGGAAUUCUUGGUGUAGCAGUGAAAUGCGUGGAUAUCAAGAGGAACACUCGUGGCGAAAGCGAGCUACUGGACAACUCCUGACGCUGAGGCUCGAAGGCCAGGGUAGCGAAAG
rnacentral:rRNA from 1 species